UGGGGGAGGAGGGACCUCUGCUU
rnacentral:miRNA from 1 species